ACAUGCAAGUCGAACGAGAAAGGGAUUGCUUGCAAUCCCGAGUAGAGUGGCGCACGGGUGAGUAACACGUAGAUAAUCUACCUUCAAGCCCGGGAUAACCAUUCGAAAGGAUGGCUAAUACCGGAUGCAGUGCAUAUGCCCAAGUAUAUGUAUGAAAGACUGCCUCUUCUUGAAAGCAGUUGUUUGGAGAUGAGUUUGCGUACCAUUAGCUUGUUGGUGAGGUAAAGGCCCACCAAGGCUGUGAUGGUUAGCUGGUCUGAGAGGAUGAUCAGUCACACUGGAACUGGAACACGGUCCAGACUCCUACGGGAGGCAGCAGUGAGGAAUUUUGCGCAAUGGGGGAAACCCUGCGCAGCAACCCCGCGUGAGUGAAGAAGGCCCUUGGGUCGUAAAGCUCUGUCAACUGGGAAGAAGUUAUCAUUGGUUAACAGAUGAUGGUAUUGACGGUCCAGUGGAGGAAGCGCCGGCUUACUCCGUGCCAGCAGCCGCGGUACACCGGGGGCGCAAGCGUUAU
rnacentral:rRNA from 1 species